GCAUGUUUCUGGUUGGAGCUGUUUCCCCUAUUUGAUCAUGGUUCAACCAUAAAUUUAUUCAUAGGAAAAUUUCUAACUUAGAAUAAAUACAAAUUACACACAUAUCUAUAGCAGUUUCAAAUUUAUUCAUAGGUACGCUGCGUUUAUUGUGCUGUGGGAAAAUUUGGAUCAUGUACCAGGAAGAAGAACCUCUAUUCGGAAACCUUUUCUGGCCUCCCAUUUAGCUACUAUGAUUUCCUCAAGUGGAUCGUACUAUUUGAUUUCUUUGAGAAAUUUCACUGAUCACAAUCUCUUUAAAUGACACGUGACCUUGCUUUGGUUUUUCCCACUAUCUUCAUUUGCUGCACCAUUGCAAGGUUUGGAGCACAAUGAAGUUAAAAUUC